CCUACGGGAGGCUGCAGUGGGGAAUUUUGGACAAUGGGCGCAAGCCUGAUCCAGCUAUUCCGCGUGUGGGAAGACGGCCUUCGGGUUGUAAACCACUUUUGUAGAGAACGAAAAGUCUAUUGAUAAUACCGAUAGAUGAUGACGGUACUCUAAGAAUAAGCACCGGCUAACUACGUGCCAGCAGCCGCGGUAAUACGUAGGGUGCGAGCGUUAAUCGGAAUUACUGGGCGUAAAGGGUGUGCAGGCGGUUUUGCAAGAUGGAUGUGAAAGCCCCGGGCUUAACCUGGGAAAGCCAUACAUGACUGCAAGACUAGAGUGCGUCAGAGGGGGGUGGAAUUCCAAGGGUAGCAGUGAAAUGCGUAGAUAUUUGGAAGAACACCGAUGGCGAAGGCAGCCCCCUGGGACGCAACUGACGCUCAUACACGAAAGCGUGGGGAGCAAACAGGAUUAGAUACCCGGGUAGUG
rnacentral:rRNA from 1 species